rnacentral:rRNA from 1 species
CCUUCGGGGUACUCGAGCGGCGAACGGGUGAGUAACACGUGAGUAAUCUGCCCCAGGCUCUGGGAUAGCCACCGGAAACGGUGAUUAAUACCGGAUACGACAACCGAUUGCAUGAUCUGGUUGUGGAAAGUUUUUCGGCCUGGGAUGUGCUCGCGGCCUAUCAGCUUGUUGGUGAGGUAAUGGCUCACCAAGGCUUCGACGGGUAGCCGGCCUGAGAGGGUGACCGGCCACACUGGGACUGAGACACGGCCCAGACUCCUACGGGAGGCAGCAGUGGGGAAUAUUGGACAAUGGGCGGAAGCCUGAUCCAGCAACGCCGCGUGAGGGAUGACGGCCUUCGGGUUGUAAACCUCUUUCAGCACAGACGAAGCGCAAGUGACGGUAUGUGCAGAAGAAGGACCGGCCAACUACGUGCCAGCAGCCGCGGUAAUACGUAGGGUCCGAGCGUUGUCCGGAAUUAUUGGGCGUAAAGGGCUCGUAGGCGGUCUGUCGCGUCGGGAGUGAAAACCAGGUGCUUAACACCUGGCCUGCUUUCGAUACGGGCAGACUAGAGGUACUCAGGGGAGAAUGGAAUUCCUGGUGUAGCGGUGAAAUGCGCAGAUAUCAGGAGGAACACCGGUGGCGAAGGCGGUUCUCUGGGAGUAUCCUGACGCUGAGGAGCGAAAGUGUGGGGAGCGAACAGGAUUAGAUACCCUGGUAGUCCACACCGUAAACGUUGGGCGCUAGGUGUGGGACACAUU